AUGGACGAAAGUCUGAUGGAGCAACGCCGCGUGAGUGAAGAAGGUUUCGGCUCGUAAAACUCUGUUGUUAAAGAAGAACAUAUCUGAGAGUAACUGUUCAGGUAUUGACGGUAUUUAACCAGAAAGCCACGGCUAACUACGUGCCAGCAGCCGCGGUAAUACGUAGGUGGCAAGCGUUGUCCGGAUUUAUUGGGCGUAAAGCGAGCGCAGGCGGUUUUUUAAGUCUGAUGUGAAAGCCUUCGGCUCAACCGAAGAAGUGCAUCGGAAACUGGGAAACUUGAGUGCAGAAGGGGACAGUGGAACUCCAUGUGUAGCGGUGAAAUGCGUAGAUAUAUGGAAGAACACCAGUGGCGAAGGCGGCUGUCUGGUCUGUAACUGACGCUGAGGCUCGAAAGUAUGGGUAGCAAACAGGAUUAGAUACCCUGGUAGUCCAUACCGUAAACGAUGAAUGCUAAGUGUUGGAGGGUUUCCGCCCUUCAGUGCUGCAGCUGACGCAUUAAGCAUUCCGCCUGGGGAGUACGGCCGCAAGGCUGAAACUCAAAGGAAUUGACGGGGGCCCGCACAAGCGGUGGAGCAUGUGGUUUAAUUCGAAGCUACGCGAAGAACCUUACCAGGUCUUGACAUACUAUGCAAAUCUAAGAGAUUAGACGUUCCCUUCGGGGACAUGGAUACAGGUGGUGCAUGGUUGUCGUCAGCUCGUGUCGUGAGAUGU
rnacentral:rRNA from 2 species